rnacentral:rRNA from 1 species
GUUAGGAAUAUUGGACAAUGGGCGCAAGCCUGAUCCAGCCAUGCCGCGUGAGUGAUGAAGGCCUUCGGGUUGUAAAGCUCUUUAGUCCACGAAUAUAAUGACUGUAGUGGAAGAAUAAGCCCCGGCUAACUUCGUGCCAGCAGCCGCGGUAAUACGAGGGGGGCGAGCGUUAUUCGGAAUCACUGGGCGUAAAGCGUGCGUAGGCUGUUUUGUAAGUCAGAAGUGAAAGCCCAGGGCUUAACCCUGGAAUUGCUUUUGAAACUACAAGACUCGAAUUCGGGAGAGGAUAGCGGAAUUGUCAGUGUAGCAGUGAAAUGCGUAGAUAUUGACAGGAACACCAGUGGCGCAAGCGGCUAUCUGGACCGAUAUUGACGCUGAGGCACGAAAGCGUGGGGAGCAAACAGGAUUAGAUACCCGAGUAGUCC